rnacentral:rRNA from 1 species
AGCGGCGGACGGGUGAGUAAUGCCUGGGAAUAUGCCCUGAUGUGGGGGAUAACUAUUGGAAACGAUAGCUAAUACCGCAUAAUCUCUUCGGAGCAAAGAGGGGGACCUUCGGGCCUCUCGCGUCAGGAUUAGCCCAGGUGGGAUUAGCUUGUUGGUGAGGUAAUGGCUCACCAAGGCGACGAUCCCUAGCUGGUCUGAGAGGAUGAUCAGCCACACUGGAACUGAGACACGGUCCAGACUCCUACGGGAGGCAGCAGUGGGGAAUAUUGCACAAUGGGGGAAACCCUGAUGCAGCCAUGCCGCGUGUGUGAAGAAGGCCUUCGGGUUGUAAAGCACUUUCAGUAGGGAGGAAGGUAGUGCAGUUAACACCUGCAUUAUUUGACGUUACCUACAGAAGAAGCACCGGCUAACUCCGUGCCAGCAGCCGCGGUAAUACGGAGGGUGCGAGCGUUAAUCGGAAUUACUGGGCGUAAAGCGCAUGCAGGCGGCCUGUUAAGUCAGAUGUGAAAGCCCGGGGCUUAACCUCGGAAUUGCAUUUGAAACUGGCAGG